rnacentral:lncRNA from 1 species
CAGAUGGCAGCAUGAGCCUGGGUAUCCGGGUGAGCACUUGAAAUGUCAAAGCCAUGCAGCAAACCCUCCACAAACACCAAUUUGACACUUUCACCCCUCUUGUUACAAGCAGAGAUCUGAAACAUCUAAGCAGGUGUGUCACUUUAUUUUUAUUUUUUUAAGCGAAGGGAGAACAGCCAGUUCAUUUGCAUGAUCUCUAGCAGUUCUUUUCCAACGGAGCCAGACAGAGAUACAUGUUUAAGUGGUUGUCAUGGAAACCAGAGAGCAUUGCUCUCCCCCAAGGUCUGAAAGAAGGAUGAUGAAAAGUUUAAGCAAUCACCAUGGAAACGUAGAGGAGAUACAAGGCGGGUUCAGAUCCCAGCACACUAACAGAUCAGUCUUCAGGUGCUGAGGUCCUGGUGGAAGGUGAAUUCUGACUAUUCACUGUGGCUUCCAGAAUCAGGGCUGACCCAGAGGCCACAUCCACAGUCAUGGGCUCAGAGCAUCCCAGGGGCUCAGCAGUGAGUUUCCUCAGCAUGGCAGAAGCCCACAGAUCUGCUGUCACAAAGUGGAACCCUGCUCAGGUCUGCAGGAGAAAAGACAUUCGAAGCCCAGCCUGGUCUUUCUCUGGUCUUGACCAAGAUGUGUUCCCUUUCAUGUCUGUGAAUAACCAAAAGAAGCAAGAGGUUCCUGCCUCCCAUCACUAUUCUACACGGAGAGUGAUCUUUUACAAACAGACGUUGGGCAAUGUCCUUGCUUCUCAUCUCAUUCAAAGUAAAAUCCGCACCCUCAGAGGCUUCUCAGAGCUAACCUCAUCUCCUACUGUUGAUCUCCGACUGUUCUGCCCCCACUGCUCCAGGGUGACAUUGACUUCCUCUUAGCACAUACAGGGCUUCUGCCCUUGUGCCCUCUACCUGGAAGGCCCUUCCUCUGACAUCCUCAAGGCUCUCCCCUCCCGACUCACUUCCAUCAGAGUAAGCUCAGUGCCAUCUUAGAGAGGCCUUCCUGGCCACCCCCACUUAAAAUAACGACCCCUCAUGCCUCUCUGUCCUUAGCCGGCUGUAUAUUCCUUCAGACUCCUGAACUGAACAUCGUGUUACGUCUUUACAUGCUGUUAUUUUAUGUAUAUGAAACCCACGUUAAGAGAAAAGACGUGGAUGGGAUAAAAGAAAUACUGAAGCUAACCCAAAGAACGGAAAUAGCUACAUUAGUAUCAGGCAAAGGAGACCUCCCUCCAAAAAUGGAAUACUAUCAGGGGACAUUACUGAGGGACAUUAUACAAUGAAGAAAGGAAUUUUCCUCAAACCUGACGUAACCGAUAUCCUCAGGGCGACGACUGACUAGACAGGACGUCCGCAGCCCUCCAGACGAGGCUGGCACCGGCCACAGCGCCCUGUGGCCUCACUCCUGGCCCCCUUCCUUCAUUUAGGUCACCUGCCCGGCCCCUGUGGGCAUUUAGUUUGAGACUCUUGCUUGUGACAAGAGCCUGGCUACAGUGCCGCUGCCUCCGGGAAAGAGCUGGGUGGACACGGUUCCAGCAACCUCGCCUGCCCUUCAGGGCGGGUCAGGCGAGCCUCUCAGAAAUCCCGUCGGGGAGAGACCGGGACAAGAUGGCGCAGCCGGGGGAGCAGUCUCAGGAAAACACCCAAAUUACACGCACCUGCUCAACGACCGUCAAUAAAACAGACUGGAAACCACCGAAACAGACAUCCUGCACCCAAAGGCAAAGAAGACGCCUCACGGAGGGGCGCCCACGCCGCAGAGCGCGGAGUCACAGACACAGGAACUCAAGCGGUGGCCCCCUCGGGCGACGCCCGCCUAGCGCCGCACAGGGCGGCCGCCUGCGGCAUCUGACACCUGCUCUCUCACUGGUCCGCCAGCCGCCGCCACGCCAGCGACCCGGCGCACCCUCGCAUCUCCCUCUAACCAUGGCUCUUCCAGCUGGAGCUUCUGCCCCAAGCUGGGCCUGAGGGGCCAGCCCUGCGCCCCCUUCUUUCGCCACAGCCCACACGCAGCCCCUCCAACAAGCGGGCGCUUGGGGAGGCCCUGUACUCGCAGGACAGCCCACAAGCCCCUAACGCACGGCCACCCCUCCUCACACAGAGGUGACGGCCAGCUCAGGGUUUCCCAGAGGCGGCAGCUUCGUAAGCAGGGAGCUCCCCCUCCCAGGCAUGUCUCCCUAGGAGCAGAAAGAAGAGUAAGCCUCCGCAUCCGCCCGCCGGAAUAUUAAACGUCAUAGAGAGCUCUGAACAGGGUUCGAGCGGGUACGAAUCCAGGUCUCAACUUAGCAUUACUGCCUCACCCGGGUGCCCUGAGGCAGCUUCUAGGGCCCGGCGGGCCAGCGGAGCGCAUGCGCAGGCCCAGCUCCCCAGCAGCCGGAAGUCACGUGGUCGGCGUGCCCUCCUCGAAGUACUGCUUCCGGAAAGAGCAUGGAUGAACCGUAAAACAACCAGUCCGAAGCCAAAUGAAAAAGGAGUGGGAGGGAAGGAUGACACAGGG